rnacentral:rRNA from 1 species
CCUGGUUGAUCCUGCCAGUAGUCAUAUGCUUGUCUCAAAGAUUAAGCCAUGCAUGUGUAAGCACACACUGUUUUAAAAGUGAAGCCGCGAAUGGCUCAUUACAACAGCCACAGUUUAUUAGAACUUACAAUCAUGGAUAACUGUGGUAAUUCUAGAGCUAAUACACGCACAAAAACUUCAACUGAAUUGGUUGAAGUGCUUUUAUUAGAACAAAAACCGAACGGCGUUUGGCGAAUGUUGAACGUCGAAACUGUUUGGUGAAUCUGAAUAACUAUUUCUGAUCGCAUGGUCUAGCACCGGCGACAUCACUUUCAAGUGUCUGCCUUAUCAACCUUCGAUGGUAGUCUAUGCGACUACCAUGGUGAUAACGGGUAACGGAGAAUCAGGGUUCGACUCCGGAGAGGGAGCCUGAGAAACGGCUACCACAUCCAAGGAAGGCAGCAGGCGCGCAAAUUACCCACUCCCAGCUUGGGGAGGUAGUGACGAAAAAUAACGAGACGAUUCUCGUUUGAGAAACGUUAUCGAAAUGAGUACGCUUUACACACGCUAACGAGUAGCAAUUGGAGGGCAAGUCUGGUGCCAGCAGCCGCGGUAAUUCCAGCUCCAAUAGCGUAUAUUAAAGUUGCUGCGGUUAAAACGCUCGUAGUUGAAUUGUGGUCUUAGACAACAGUCCCCCUACAUAGGUGUGGCACGGUUGCUCGAGAUCUUCAUUCGUGGUUGCUGUUGUUGCUCUUCAUUGAGUGUCAAUGGUGCCUCGAGAUUUUACUUUGAAAAAAUUAGAGUGCUCAAAGCAGGUUGUGAUGCCUGAAUAAUGGUGCAUGGAAUAAUAGAAUACGAUCUCGGUUCUAUUUUGUUGGUUUUCGAACCGGAGAUAAUGAUUGAAAGGAACAGACGGGGGCAUUCGUAUUGCUGCGUUAGAGGUGAAAUUCUUGGAUCGCAGCAAGAUGAACAAUUGCGAAAGCAUUUGCCAAGAAUGUUUUCAUUAAUCAAGAACGAAAGUUAGAGGUUCGAAGGCGAUCAGAUACCGCCCUAGUUCUAACGGUAAACUAUGCCAACCAGCGAUUCGCCGAAGUUCAUUUAAGACUCGGCGAGCAGCUUCCGGGAAACCAAAGUGUUUCGGUUCCGGGGGAAGUAUGGUUGCAAAGCUGAAACUUAAAGGAAUUGACGGAAGGGCACCACCAGGAGUGGAGCCUGCGGCUUAAUUUGACUCAACACGGGAAAACUCACCCGGCCCGGACACUGGAAGGAUUGACAGAUUGACAGCUCUUUCUUGAUUCAGUGGGUAGUGGUGCAUGGCCGUUCUUAGUUGGUGGAGCGAUUUGUCUGGUUAAUUCCGAUAACGAACGAGACUCUACCCUAUUAAAUAGUGACAGUAUUGUAUUUUUUGUGCUGAUCACUUCUUAGAGGGACUGGCAAAUUGAAGGCUGCACGAAAAAGAGCAAUAACAGGUCUGUGAUGCCCUUCGAUGUCCGGGGCUGCACGCGCGCUACAAUGAAAGCGUCAACGUGAGUUACGUCCUUACCUGAAAAGGUUUGGCAAUCGAAUGAAACGUUUUCUUGAAUGGAAUAGGGAAUUGCAAUUGUUUCCCUUGAACGAGGAAUUCCCAGUAAGCGUGAGUCAUUAGCUCGCGUUGAUUACGUCCCUGCCCUUUGUACACACCGCCCGUCGCUACUACCGAUUGGAUGAUUUAGUGAGGUGUUUUGACUGGCGCCAGUAGUCGGAUGUAUUCGGCUUCGCGCCGGGAAAUUUCCCAAACCAAAUCAUCUAGAGGAAGUAAAAGUCGUAACAAGGUUUCCGUAGGUGAACCUGCGGAAG